rnacentral:lncRNA from 1 species
CCAGAGCCCACGGAUGGGAUCAGAGCCUCGCACAAGCAGAGAGCACCAAGAGAUGGGGAUCCACCGGAUCCGGCACCAUCAGCAUCCCAUGGAAUCCAACAUCAGCCAGGUUGAGCAUCCGGCACAGCCAGCACUGCCUGGAUGUCACCAUCCAGCACCACCGGUACCAGGCAGGUUCUGCCAUCCAGCACCACCACCACUGCCUGGGUUCCACCAUCCGGCCCAUUAUCCAGGUUCUGGCAUCACCACCACUGCCUGGGUUCCACCAUCCAGCCCAUUAUCCAGGUUCUGGCAUCACCACCACUGCCUGGGUUCCACCCCCUGGCACUGCCAGCAUCCCAUAUGGGCAGCUUCCAGCUCCAGUAUCUCCCAGUAUCUCCCAGUUCCAGUCUCCCCAUUUCCAGCACUCCCAAUGCCAUCACCUCCCAGCACCCCCAGUCCCAGUAUCUCCCAUUUCCAGCAUAUCCCGAUUUCAGCAUCCUCAUCUGCAGCCUCUCCAGUCCCAGUACUCCCAGUCCCAGUAUUCCCAGUCCCAGUAUUCCCAGUUAGUUCUGAUAUCCUCCAAUUCCAUCACCUCCCACUUCCAGCACCCCCAUUCCCAGUAUCCCCAAUUCCAGCCCCCCCAGCCCCAGUGUUCCCAGUCCCAUCACCUCCCAGUGUCCCCAGUCCCAGCACCCCCAGUCCCAGUAUCUCCCAUUUCCAGCAUAUCCCGAUUUCAGCAUCCUCAUCUGCAGCCUCUCCAGUCCCAGUACUCCCAGUCCCAGUAUUCCCAGUUAGUUCUGAUAUCCUCCAAUUCCAUCACCUCCCACUUCCAGCACCCCCAUUCCCAGUAUCCCCAAUUCCAGCACCCCCAGCCCCAGUGUUCCCAAUCCCAUCACCUCCCAGUACCCCCAAUCCCAGUAUUCCCAAUCCCAUUCCCAGUAUCCCCAAUUCCAGCACCCCCAGACCCAGUGUUCCCAACCCCAUCACCUCCCAGUACCCCCAUUCCCAGUAUUCCCAGUUCCAGCAUCUCCAUUUCCAAUAUCCUCCAAUUCCAUCAUCUCCCAUUCCCAGUAUCCCCCCUUCCAGCACCCCCAUUCCCAGUAUCCCCAAUUCCAGCACCCCCAGCCCCAGUAUUCNNNNNNNNNNNN